UACGUAGGGAGCGAGCGUUGUCCGGAUUCAUUGGGCGUAAAGAGCUCGUAGGCGGCUUGGCAAGUCGGGUGUGAAAACUCCAGGCUCAACCUGGAGACGCCACCCGAUACUGCCAUGGCUAGAGUCCGGUAGGGGACCACGGAAUUCCUGGUGUAGCGGUGAAAUGCGCAGAUAGUCAGGAGGAACACCGAUGGCGAAGGCAGCUCGCUGGGACGGUACUGACGCUGAGGCGCGAAAGCGUGGGGAGCAAACAGG
rnacentral:rRNA from 1 species